AUUGAACGCUGGCGGCAGGCUUAACACAUGCAAGUCGAGCGGGGUGAUGGUGCUUGCACUAUCACUUAGCGGCGGACGGGUGAGUAAUGCUUAGGAAUCUGCCGAUUAGUGGGGGACAACAUCUCGAAAGGGAUGCUAAUACCGCAUACGUCCUACGGGAGAAAGCAGGGGAUCACUUGUGACCUUGCGCUAAUAGAUGAGCCUAAGUCGGAUUAGCUAGUUGGUGGGGUAAAGGCCUACCAAGGCGACGAUCUGUAGCGGGUCUGAGAGGACGAGCAGGCACACUGGGACUGAGACACGGCCCAGACUCCGACGGGAGGCAGCAGUGGGGAAUAUUGGACAAGGGGGGGAACCCUGAUCCAGCCAUGCCGCGUGUGUGAAGAAGGCCUUAUGGUUGUAAAGCACUUUAAGCGAGGAGGAGGCUCUUUUGGUUAAUACCCAAGAUGAGUGGACGUUACUCGCAGAAUAAGCACCGGCUAACUCUGUGCCAGCAGCCGCCGUAA
rnacentral:rRNA from 1 species